AGUUAGCAAACAGCAGCAGUGAGUGCGGUUAGGUCCACUCCUUAAUCUAACCGAGGAUCCUGACUACAUUAAUGGCACAGUGGGCUAUGGUGGAUUACAAUAAUUACCACAGCAUAACAACUUCAGCAAGACCCUGACAGAGAAAACGAGAAUAAAAGUAACCUUUCAACGUCAACACAACAUAGCCAGACUAAUGGUUUAUUUUUAAACACUUACUACUCCACGUUCCUCAGGAAAUACUGCGUGCUUUGGACACCUCGCAGCAGCUCCGGAGGGUUGCGGGUCGAUUUUAAUUCAUUGGAUAAUCCCAGAUGAGGGCGCGGGAGGCGUAAACGCAUUGAAAUGUUUCAUGAAACAGUAAAACAGCCAGAGAGUUUCAUUGUUUGUGCAAUAAUGGAGGAACCCGGAUGAACAAAA